rnacentral:rRNA from 1 species
UACGUAGGGGGCAAGCGUUGUCCGGAUUUACUGGGCGUAAAGCGCGCGUAGGCGGACGGCUAAGUCCGGUCUGAAAGCCCCCGGCUCAACCGGGGAGGGUGGCUGGAAACUGGUCGUCUUGAGGGCGAGAGAGGAAGGUGGAAUUCCUGGUGUAGCGGUGAAAUGCGUAGAUAUCAGGAGGAACACCGGUGGCGAAGGCGGCCUUCUGGCUCGACCCUGACGCUGAGGCGCGAAAGCGUGGGGAGCGAACGGGAUUAGAUACCCCCGUAGUCC